UAUCUUCUGUCGUGUGCGCUCACGGGCCUGCAAAAACUUGAGCUUAUUUCGUGUAGAAAGGGAACUGAACUGCGCGGUUGUGUGCAAGCCCACUUGAGGUGGGAAGCCUGAUACAGCGCUCGCUGUUCCCACUUGAACCCCUGGUUCAAGUUUAUUGCCCGUAACGGCACGACGGUUGAUAC
rnacentral:other from 1 species